rnacentral:rRNA from 1 species
AUUGAACGCUGGCGGCGUGCUUAACACAUGCAAGUCGUGCGGUAACAGGCGUAGCAAUACGUGCUGACGAGCGGCGAACGGGUGCGUAAUACAUGGGAAUCUGCCCUUUAGUGGGGAAUAACCCGGCGAAAGCCGGGCUAAUGCCGCAUAAGAUCUUCGGAUGAAAGCGGGGGACCGUAAGGCCUCGCGCUGAUGGAUGAGCCCAUGUCGGAUUAGCUAGNGGUGAGGUAACGGCUCACCAAGGCGACGAUCCGUAGCUGGUCUGAGAGGACGGCCAGCCACACUGGGACUGAGACACGGCCCAGACUCCUACGGGAGGCAGCAGUGGGGAAUAUUGGACAAUGGGCGAAAGCCUGAUCCAGCGACGCCGCGUGUGUGAAGAAGGCCU